AACGAACGCUGGCGGCGUGGAUAAGACAUGCAAGUCGAACGGGAGUUUAUUUAUAGCAAUAUGAGUGAACUCUAGUGGCGAAAGGGUGCGUAACACGUGGCUACCUACCUCGAAGUUGGGGAUAGCUCGGCGAAAGCCGGAUUAAUACCGAAUGUGACCGGAAGGUCAAAGCUGGGGAUCGUAAGACCUGGCGCUUUGAGAUGGGGCUGCGGCCUAUCAGGUAGUUGGCGGGGUAAUGGCCCACCAAGCCUAAGACGGGUAGCUGGUCUGAGAGGACGACCAGCCACACUGGAACUGAGACACGGUCCAGACACCUACGGGUGGCAGCAGUGGGGAAUUUUGGACAAUGGGCGCAAGCCUGAUCCAGCCAUGCCGCGUGCAGGAUGAAGG
rnacentral:rRNA from 1 species